GAGGGGAUAGCCCAGUGGUAGAAUGCAUGCCUAGCAUGCAUGAGGUUCUGGGUUCAAUUUCCAGUCCCUCUA
rnacentral:tRNA from 1 species